AGUGAACGCUGGCGGCAGGCUUAACACAUGCAAGUCGAGCGGUAGCACAGGGGAGCUUGCUCCCUGGGUGACGAGCGGCGGACGGGUGAGUGAUGUCCGUGAAACUGCCUGAUGGAGGGGGGUAACUACUGGAAACGGUAGCUAAUACCGCAUAACGUCGCAAGGCCAAAGAGGGGGACCUUCGGGCCUCUUGCCAUCAGAUGUGCCCAGAUGGGAUUAGCUAGUAGGUGGGGUAAUGGCUCACCUAGGCGACGAUCCCUAGCUGGUCUGAGAGGAUGACCAGCCACACUGGAACUGAGACACGGUCCAGACUCCUACGGGAGGCAGCAGUGGGGAAUAUUGCACAAUGGGCGCAAGCCUGAUGCAGCCAUGCCGCGUGUGUGAAGAAGGCCUUCGGGUUGUAAAGCACUUUUAGCGAGGAGGAAGGUGGUGAGCUUAAUACGUUCAUCAAUUGACGUUACUCGAAGAAGAAGCACCGGCUAACUCCGUG
rnacentral:rRNA from 1 species